AUAACUAAACAAAUUACUGGUGAAUUCGAUUGGAUACGGUAGACUCCUCCUACUUUUUAUUUACACAUGUUGGCGUGGUGUCAUUGCACAAUGGAACAACUGAAGAAAGAAGUUAAAUGUAAUCCAUCAGCAACAGCCAAUUUCUUUUCACGAAUGUUUUUCUGUGGUCUCCAUAUAGGCUAUUCCCUCCAUCGCCACACUUCCGCCCGGUUGAAGCUCUCGUGAUCUCCAUGCCUCUUCGGGAAGAGCACCCCUCAGCCUCAGAAGAUGACCUUCUGGAGGUAUCUGGCUCCAUAGGUGUGUUCCACAAUGAGUGCAAGAGGAGUGGGACUCACCUUCCACUGAGUUGCAUUAUUUUCCAGAGAACAAAUAGAGCCCCGAGUUGAAUGCUCUGCACCAGAGUUUACUCAGGCAAAAAGCAAGUUUAGAAUGUAAAUGAAGGUAUCACAGCGUCUGUACUGUAUAUAUGUUUAUAUUAAUAAUAUGUUGUCGCUUGGUGUCUUUCCUAUAUAACUUAUUUAGUUUAUAUAUUUAAUAUCUUAUGGUGUUCUUGUCUAUUACUGUUCUGUACUUUGUCAUGUAUUUGUACAUUUUAUGUGGAUCCCAGGAAGAGUAGCUGUGGCAUGUGCAGUAGCUAAACUUCUAUACCAUUGCUAUAAUUUAACACAUUUGCCGCUAGAAAUAUGUUCUGUUGCAGGUAGAAAUGUGUUCAACAUCCACUUAAGUAGAUAGCUAUAGUAGUUGCCUUGGUAACCAAACAAACAGACCUGCUAGUUCAGUUAACCCAAACCAUCAUAUAUACAAAAGUAUGUGGACACCCCUUCAAAUGAGUGGAUUUGGCUAUUUCAGCCACACCCGUUGCUGACAGGUAUAUAAAAUCAAGCACACAGCCAUGCUGUCUCCAUAGACAAACAUUGGAGA